rnacentral:rRNA from 1 species
UACGAAGGGAGCUAGCGUUGUUCGGAAUUACUGGGCGUAAAGGGCGCGUAGGCGGUUAAAUAAGUCAGAUGUGAAAGCCUUGGGCUUAACCUGAGAACAGCAUUUGAUACUGUUUGACUAGAGGACGAGAGAGGAAAGUGGAAUUACGAGUGUAGAGGUGAAAUUCGUAGAUAUUCGUAAGAACACCAGUGGCGAAGGCGACUUUCUGGAUCGUAUCUGACGCUAAGGCGCGAAAGCGUGGGGAGCAAACAGG